GUGAUUCAGUGCUCUCGCAAGCCACACAAACUUUCCCCUUCCCAUUCCACUUCCACUUCUUCCCAUUCCACUUCCACUUCCUUCUUUAAUAAUUCCCAACACAUCCUCUGCCUCCCCCGGUCUUCCUUCUUGGUCCCCGAAACAAAUCCACCUCCCUGAGAGCUUAGACCUCCUAAUCUCCGGUCCUGUCACCACUAGCACAUAUAGCUAUGGCCAACAGCCGGGUGGCUGCUCGACUCCGUCCACCAGCCGGUUGACUGGUUCGAGAGGAAGAGAUGAGAAGGAUAGGGCGUGUGGCGGCUAUAGGGAAGAGAGAAGGUAGGGGUCCCUGGCGGAUUAUGGCGGCGGCGGUACCGACGGGAGAGAGGGGGAGCAUGCUAUGAGGGAGACGAAGUACCAACGCGCUGCCCCUGACCGGAGAAAUCGCCGGUGUUCUACCUGAACGCGGGUCAUAGAUGCAAGUGGUGCUGGUCCUCCGAGGGCCAGGCUGGUGGUGCGGCCGGGAUGGGCUCCGAUCAGAGCAACAACUUGGAGUGGCGAUAGAUCCAUCUUCUCCCACAAGUGCCGCCCCGGCUAAUUCAGAGACCAGAUUAUACUGUGGCAAUGGUGGAAUUACUUUUCCAAGCUGACAUCAUUCUUUUGGGGAGGAUGUCCUGCUCUUUUGUGUUGGUGAUGGAAUCAAAGCUGAUGCUAAGAAGGAAAGGCUACAAUAGAUGCUUCGCUUUGGGUUGCCUUGAUUCAACCUGUUUCAAAAUGAUAUACGUCUUGAGGAUAUGAGAGGUAAGAAGCAUGAUGGUGUGCAGUAUGCAUCGCUACAGGACUUUUCUACAAAGCCUGCUUCUUCCAGGUACGAUACUAGAUGUUAUACAUGGAAAAGUAGCUGCCAUGCAGCAGUACCCAGUAGCAGUCGCCAAUGGAGGAGCAUGGCCUUUCCGAUCUUGGUGAUCUUAAUGAAUAUUUUUGCUUGAAAGGUCUGUAGGUUAUAUACAAAAAUCUAUAACAGCUGCACUUUUUCAUGGCUAUUUAUAUAGUCGGGUCAUUCUCCUAUGUCACGUGGUUGGGUGACUUGCUAGAGUUUUCCCUUACCAUUGUUUCCACUAUAGUGCGCUUGGUUAGUCUAUGCAUUAGUUGUUGUUUGUUCGCUCGUUGUUCAGUGUUGUAAGGUUUUAAUGUUGUUUGUACUUUCUUUCUAUCUUAACUCAACACAUUUUGUUCUCGUGCAUGGUUAAAAAAAUCGUUCCAUGUCUGAAGUUAACAAGAAGCAAGUUAUUCCCAUUGAUUUUUAGCUUCUAUGGGCCCUCUCGUAGCACCAUCUGUAAGUGUCGUAUCUCUCUCUCUCUCUCUCACACACACACACACACACACAAUAUAUUUUGUUAAAGAUCUUGAUAUAUACAUAGGGCAACAAAAUUAUCUUUGCUUCCUUCCUCAAAUGGGUACUGAAGUCGUCAUCUGCUUUCAUGCUUCUGGUGGACAGAUUAUACACACUGUGUGCUAGCUAGUAAACAUUUUUUUUGGAAUAACUGGUUACUUCAAGUACAGGCAACAGUCUGAAGGUAUAUACAUAUUUAUGUUUCUGAGGUAAGUCAUGUACCUGUUUUACUACAGAUCAUGAUGGCUCGUUUCGUUUUUUAUGAAUUCCACAAUAAUUUUCUCUAUACUUCCCUUUGUAUAAGUGUUCCAUCUAGAUGUUAGGAAAAGGGCAUAUAGUAUGGAUGCAUAAAUAGAUUAUUCUACAGUUUCAUCUUUAGUAUGGUCGAUCACAGAUCACUGAAACUAUAGAGUACUCCAUAAAUUAUGAACUUUUGUGACAACAGAAAUUAUGAACAUUAUAGUUAAACUUUGUUGAACAUUCUGCACUACAUUUUAUUUGUUGCUCAUUUUAUUUGGUCAGCCACACUAAAAGAGUUUUAGAAAGAUACCAGUGUAACGACUAUCUAGGUACACCCAAGAUCCUAAAAAAUCAAUUAAGACCUACCAAAAUGUUAUGGAUUGAUCUAAUUUUCCUUGAUAUAGUCGGUUUGCGCAAAAACUAGAUUUUAUCAGAGGUGUUACUGAACCAUUGGGGAAGGCAAUGCUAUCAUCCACUUGCAACUCCUGUUCGUCCAUUCUCUUUUUAGGAUCACAUUUUCCAACAUCUUAUAUUGCUGAAGAUGUCUGGCGAAAUUACUUUCUGAAAGUCCAAAAGAUUUUUUUUGAUGGUAUGCCAUCCAUAAUUGUUUUUGUCGUUCAUUACAUAUUCUAAUACUAAUUGAUUUGGAUGCAAGACAAAUGGAUCUUCUCUAAAUAGCAAAAGUAUCUUAAUAUUCACAUGUUGCUUUUGUCUUGAUUAUGUAGUUUCCUAACAUGCAAUAAUUUCAGCUUGAUAAUUCUCACUCAAGCAUGGAUGAAGAUGUACAUAUAAAUGGUUAUACGUACUAUGAGAUUUAGAAUUUCAGACCAGUACGGUAUUUUUCACUUUGUUUCAAAUUUUCUUUAAAGAAUGGAUGAAAACAUGAGAAUUCGACAGCUAUUUUUGUUAUUGGGAAGCUUGGCACCAGCUCAAUGGUAGCGUAUAUGGGAAAACUUUUAACCAGUUGGUUAUGUGGGUAAUUGACAAUAAUAUCUU